UGCAAAUGAUUGUAAUGGAGAUAAGACCACGGGGGGAGCGAUCGGACUUAGGGGCGGUCUUUUAAAUCGGCAAUUCGACGCGUUACACCGAUGCCGAAGAAUAUCGGAGGGUGGGUUUAUCGGCCGGGGAAUAUCGGCCAAGAGAUAAAUACGGACGGGACGAAGCCGCUGACACGCAGUCAAUCACAAAGAAUGUUGAGUGAGCUCGAGGUUCCUUUUUGAACGUGACGUUUUUCCCGCCACAUUGGAGCGCGGCGACGACAGCCAAUCAGCGCGCGGUUCGGAGUCACGUGACCUUAAGUGCUCUGCGACGUUGUCAAAUGUGGCGAAGUCGAGUCAGUGUAUGUGACCGAGGCGUUGCGAGCGGUUCUAUGUGGUGUUCUCUCGCCGGGUCUUCUAUGAGAGGGAGGUAAAUCGAGAGGAAAUUACGGCCUAACGAGUGCGAGGAAAAGGUUCGAGUGAGGCGUUAAGUGCAGAGGAAAAGAGGUGGAUGGGUUAGAAGUGCGUUGGUGGCCUGAAUCCCAGUCGGAAAUUAAUAUUUUAAGCUGGAAGUGUUCGCUUACGGCCGUGUUGGGAUAACGCCCGUGUGUGUGUGUGUGAAAGCUUAAAACCGUGGAUUUCCUUAUAAUUAUCUAAAACCGUGGAUUAUGCCAUCCCUCUUCACUGAUUCAGGUAUGGCAAUUACUAUCUUGACCAGUUGCUAAGCGUGUCGGAAGAUGUAUGGCGGCGCCGAGGUACGGCGAUGUCGAUGCGGUAUUGACUCGUUACGAGCAGGCCGGUCGGGGCGACAGUGCAGGUGAGGCAGGCAGUCAGGCAGUCAG